UCCUUCAUUCCACCGGAGUCUGUCUUGAGCCAAUCAGAUUUCAGUGGCGUGAAGAAUA
ensembl:miRNA gmo-mir-205-2 gmo-mir-205-2